ACGGCUCAGUAACACGUGGACAACCUACCCUCAGGUCGGGGAUAAACCCGGGAAACUGGGUAUAAUACCCGAUAGAUCUCGACUGCUGGAAUGCAUCGAGAUCGAAAGCUCCGGUGCCUGAGGAUGGGUCUGCGGCCUAUCAGGUAGUAGUGGGUGUAGCGUACCUACUAGCCUACGACGGGUACGGGUUGUGAGAGCAAGAGCCCGGAGAUGGAUUCUGAGACACGAAUCCAGGCCCUACGGGGUGCAGCAGGCGCGAAAACUUUACAAUGCUGGAAACAGCGAUAAGGGGACCUCGAGUGCCAGGUUACAAAUCUGGCUGUCGUGAUGCCUAAAAAGCAUUGCAUAGCAAGGGCCGGGCAAGACCGGUGCCAGCCGCCGCGGUAACACCGGCGGCUCGAGUGGUAACCGUUAUUAUUGGGUCUAAAGGGUCUGUAGCCGGCCGGAUAAGUCUCUUGGGAAAUCCAGCAGCUCAACUGUUGGGCUUUCAGGAGAUACUGUCUGGCUCGAGGCCGGGAGAGGUGAGAGGUACUUCAGGGGUAGGGGUGAAAUCUUGUAAUCCUUGAAGGACCAUCAGUGGCGAAGGUGUCUCACCAGAACGGACCUGACGGCAAGGGACGAAAGCUAGGGGCACGAACCGGAUUAGAUACUCGGGUAGUCCUAGCCGUAAACGAUACUCGCUAGGUGUCGGCCACGGUGCGACCGUUGUCGGUGCCGUAGGGAAGCCGUGAAGCGAGCCACCUGGGAAGUACGGCCGCAAGGCUGAAACUUAAAGGAAUUGGCGGGGGAG
rnacentral:rRNA from 1 species